rnacentral:rRNA from 1 species
UAACACGUAGGGGGCGAGCGUUGUCCGGAUUUAUUGGGCGUAAAGAGCUCGUAGGCGGCUCGGUCAGUCGGGUGUGAAAUUUCAGGGCUCAACCCUGAAACGCCACCCGAUACUGCCGUGGCUAGAGUCCGGUAGGGGAGCGUGGAAUUCCUGGUGUAGCGGUGAAAUGCGCAGAUAUCAGGAGGAACACCAGCGGCGAAGGCGGCGCUCUGGGCCGGAACUGACGCUGAGGAGCGAAAGCGUGGGUAGCGAACAGGAUUAGAUACCCUGGUAGUCCACGCCGUAAACGUUGGGCACUAGGUGUGGGGCGCAGUCAACGCGUUCCGUGCCGCAGCUAACGCAUUAAGUGCCCCGCCUGGGGAGUACGGCCGCAAGGCUA